AUGGCAGAUCGAGCGACAACCGCGGUGUGGGCGGGCGGCACUAACACGCUGCUCUCGGCCGAGGAGCCGCUCCCGCCGGGCCAACCGCACCCGUCCGUCGCCUGCUCGCCUCCCGCGGCGUCUUCUCCGAGCACACAGACGACGGAGGUCGGAGGCGGUACGCGCUUGUGCUGGCGUGGCCGUGGCUCCACAAGGACGUGCUCGACCCCGCCGGCGCCUAGCCCUUUUCAUGCGCACGCCGGCGUCCCCGCCUACGCCUACUACAGCCAGGACCGGGAGGCGAACGAGGUGAUGCUCGACGAUGAACAUCUGCUCGAGGACAUCCUACUCGACGAUGCUCCUCUUCGCCAGCAUCUCCAACGCGUGAUCAACUCCCCGCAUAGACCCGCGUCGAGGGAGGAGGAAGCAGAGGCUGGCAACAAGGAGCGGGUGUGGGUGCUCAUCCUCGCCGCUGACCACAAGUGCCGUGAGAAACUUUGGGCAGAAUUUGCUGCCUCCACUGGGCUACUCGUUGUCACCUCAUUCAUCUACGCUUGGUGGUUUAGUGUCCUCUUUCGUUAA
rnacentral:rRNA from 1 species